UCAAGAUGAGAUGGACCUAUCAGAUU
rnacentral:piRNA from 1 species